rnacentral:rRNA from 1 species
AUGCAAGAGUCCAAGAAGGAUUGGCCGGUACUGCCGGCUGGCGUCAAGUUUGAUCCCAUGGAUCAGGAGCUGAUCGAGCACCUUGAGGCCAAAGUGAGUGCUGUCAGCGCGAGAUCUCACCCUCUCAUCGAUUUGUUCAUACCAACCAUCGACAGCGGGCACGACAUAUGCUACACCCAUCCUGAGAAACUUCCAAGUAAGACACCGAUCGGCCAUCUACUUGCACAAACACAUUCCUUUGUUUCUAGCUCUAUUUUUCUUUUUAGACGCAGACCUAGUGAAGCAAUUACAAUUUGA